AUAUUGACUCAGCUAAUUCUAACUGGGUGGUAAGUUAUAUUGACUCAACCUCUUCAUACUGGGUGGUAAGUUAUAUUGACUCAACCACUUCUUACUAAGUAGUAACCGUAAGUUAAACUGACUCAACUACUGAAUGGUAAAAUUGUUAUUUUUGGGAUAGGGAAAUCUACACUAGUUACACGGCAACCUCGUAAAAUACCCCCGCCCGUGUAAUUAUAUUUAAAAACUUAAGAGUAGUAAAUAAGGCAUCCGCGUAUUUAAUGCCCACGUGUAUUGUUAGACUACUACAUGUAGAAAACGCGUAUAUAUCCACCAUCGUAAAUAACCACUUUUACCUUAAUUUUUAUCGUCUCGACCACUUCUUACUGGGUGGUAAGUCGUAUAUCAUUCACGCUUUUUGGAGAUAAAUUAAGAACAUCUCUACGUGAAGGGAUGGUUAAAAGUUGGUUCCCUGCUGAAAUCCCAGUCCCGGGCCACGCCGAGUGAUUGGUGUAUCUUGGGUAGGUUCUAUCCGGGUCAUUCAGACGCUCACAGCUCCAGAACCCUGGACGUUAGCGUUCCCGUGUGGGAUAAAUGCUAAUUAAGUGACAAAACCAAUGUGUCGUUCAAUCUUGAUCACCUUAAUGAUACAAAAAGAAGCACGGGGUUGGGAAUUUGUCUAGAAUUUAGUAUUUUGUCCAUGUGACUUGGUCUUAAUUUUAUGUUAGUUCUGAUACAGAUACAUUUGUUAUGAAGUAUUAUGUGAAAAUUAACAUUUAUUUUA